rnacentral:sRNA from 3 species
UAUCUCUCCGUACGGGGAAGGAUGAGAAGCUUCGACUAAGGUUCGAUUCGAGCGCAGCGAGAAAGCGUUGC